UGGCCUUGACAUACUAAGAACUUUCCAGAGAUGGAUUGGUGCCUUCGGGAACUUAGAUACAGGUGCUGCAUGGCUGUCGUCAGCUCGUGUCGUGAGAUGUUGGGUUAACGUCCGCAACGAGCGCAACCUUUUCCUAUUUGCCAGCGGGUAAUGCCGGGAACUUUAAGGAUACUGCCAGUGACAAACUGGAGGAAGGCGGGGACGACGUCAAGUCAUCAUGGCCCUUACGGCCAGGGCUACACACGUGCUACAAUGGUCGGUACAAAGGGUUGCUACCUCGCGAGAGGAUGCUAAUCUCAAAAAGCCGAUCGUAGUCCGGAUCGCAGUCUGCAACUCGACUGCGUGAAGUCGGAAUCGCUAGUAAUCGCGGAUCAGAAUGCCGCGGUGAAUACGUUCCCGGGCCUUGUACACACCGCCCGUCACACCAUGGGAGUUUGUUGCACCAGAAGUAGGUAGUCUAACCGCAAGGAGGACGCUUACCACGGUGUGGCCGAUGACUGGGGUGAAGUCGUAACAAGGUAGGCGUAGAUGA
rnacentral:rRNA from 1 species